UGUCUCAAGCGAUCCUCCUGCCUCAGUCUCCUGAGUAACUUUGAAAUGAGACCCUUGUCAUUCUUAGAGUCCUUUGUUGAAUGGAAUAAGAAAUGGAAUAAUGCCGUAUCCACCUGAUGGGGACAUCACCUCCUACCUGGAUGGUCAGAGGACUCCUAUCCAUCCCACUGUUCCUUCUGGUUUGGGGCCCAGAGUCUUCCACCAAAGCCUGAACAUGCUUCUACUCCCAGGGCCUCCACAUUCCACGGAUGGCUGAUGGAGAAGAAUCUCAGGUCAUCUGUGGACACCUCUCCUUCUGUAUCCCCAGAACAUGAUGUGCACAGGUGCAUAAAGGAAAUUUAAAUUUUGUGAGUACUAUUAUGUGCUGAACAUCAUGCUAGUUGUUUUUCUAUUUUAUUUCACAUUUGUGAGCACAGAAUAUGGAAACAGCCUGAGAACUGGACAGAGUGGCCUGGGGUGAUCAGUGGGGUGAAAAAAGCAAGA